rnacentral:rRNA from 1 species
GACGAACGCUGGCGGCGUGCCUAACACAUGCAAGUUGAGCGACGAACCAGGGCUUGCCCUGGGGCAAAGCAGCGAACGGGUGAGUAACACGUGGGUAACCUACCCCGAUAACCGGGACAACCCGAGGAAACUCGGGCUAAUACCGGAUGUGCUCACUGGACUUCGGUUCAGUGCGUAAAGGAAGCUUCGGCCUCCGUAUCGGGAGGGGCCCGCGGCCCAUUAGUUUGUUGGUGAGGUAACGGCUCACCAAGACCGCGAUGGGUAGCUGGUCUGAGAGGACGAUCAGCCACACUGGGACUGAGACACGGCCCAGACUCCUACGGGAGGCAGCAGUGGGGAAUCUUGCGCAAUGCGCGAAAGCGUGACGCAGCAACGCCGCGUGGGGGAAGAAGGCCUUCGGGUUGUAAACCCCUUUCAGGAGGGACGAAGGUUCGGCGGUGAAUAGCCGUCCGGACUGACGGUACCUCCACAGGAAGCCCCGGCUAACUACGUG